AUCUUUGUUUUAAUAAAUUCUUCCUCCAAAGCUUCAGACUUUUUUUUUUCCUCUCUGAGUAUAUAGUUCUAUCUUAGCUUAGAAGUCCUUAAAAAUGGUCCUCAGGCUCCUUGCAAUUUCUGCCACCUGAGUUCAAGCAAUUCUUCUGCCUCAGCCUUCUGAGUAGCUGGGAUUACUGGUGCCUGCCACCACACCCAGCUAAUUUUUUGUAUUUUUGGUAGAGACGGGGUUUCACUAUGUUGGCCAGGCUGGUCUCAAACUCCUAACCUCAUGAUCUGCCCACCUCAGCCUCCCAAAGUUCUGGGCUUAGAGGCUUGAGCUGCCACAUCUGCAAUUUGGCCAACUUUUGACUGUUAAAACUAAUGUUAUCAGGUUUCAGCCAGGAAAAAAAAAAAAACAUUCCUGGUAGCAUUGAACUUCUCUCUUUCUCUCUCUUAGACCAAAGGUGUCUAUCAAAUGACUAAACACCAAAAUGAAUCAACCUUUUAUGACUUAACAAUGGAUGCAAGAGGUGUCCUCAAAAGAGGGUACAAAAAGAUGCAGCCCUCUCAAGAUCCAAAACCAUUCCUAAGACAACCAAAAGAAAUGCAGAUAAUGUGCCCCCAGAGAGCUGGCAGCAGUUGCUGUAUUAGAAAUGUGAACUCAUAUUUCUGUCUUGCUAUGUAUUUGGGUCCCCACAGCCUUUCUGUUGGGCACCUGUACCUGCAGGCCCCAUUACCUACGUGCCCCAGCAAGUGGAAAGUCAAGUCAAGCAGUCAAGACACAAGAAAAGCAAAGAUAAAGAAGACACAGGGAAAAAGAAUCUUCACUACAGAGGAGCAAGAAUAAGACUUACAUCAAACUUCGCAGAAACCACACAGGUAAAAAGAGAAUACAGUAACAUAUUUAAGGUAUUGGAAGAACAAAAUCACCAACCUAAAAUUCCAUAUUCAGUGAAAUUAUUUUUCAAAAGUACAGGUUAAAGACCUACUCAGACAAACAUUGAAGGGAAUUGUUGACAGUAGACCUGCCUUGUAAGAAAUAUUUAAACCUCUAGCUCACAUUAUACCCAAAGAUGAGGAACUAGAUGUAUUACCUUGAAGUUUGAAAGCAGGGCAAAAUGUCUCCUCUCAACACUUAAAUUUAUCAUUGUACAGAAGUCCUG
rnacentral:lncRNA from 13 species